rnacentral:rRNA from 1 species
CAAUAGCGUAUAUUAAAGUUGUUGCAGUUAAAAAGCUCGUAGUUGGAUUUCUGGUGGGAGCGAUCGGUCUGGCGCUUAGCGCGAGUACUUGCAUCGUCUCCGGCCAUCCUUGGGGAGAGUCUGUCUGGCAUUAAGUUGUCGGGCAGCGGAUCCUCAUCGUUUACUGUGAAAAAAUUAGAGUGUUCAAAGCAGGCUUAUGCCGUUGAAUAUAUUAGCAUGGAAUAAUAAGAUAGGACUUUGGUACUAUUUUGUUGGUUUGCGCACCAAAGUAAUGAUUAAUAGGGACAGUUGGGGGUAUUCGUAUUCCGUUGUCAGAGGUGAAAUUCUUGGAUUUACGGAAGACGAACUACUGCGAAAGCAUUUACCAAGGAUGUUUUCAUUAA